rnacentral:rRNA from 1 species
AACGAACGCUGGCGGCAGGCCUAACACAUGCAAGUCGAGCGCCCCGCAAGGGGAGCGGCGGACGGGUGAGUAACGCGUGGGAACGUACCCUUUGCUACGGAAUAGCCUUGGGAAACUGGGAGUAAUACCGUAUGUGCCCUUCGGGGGAAGAUUUAUCGGCAAAGGAUCGGCCCGCGUUGGAUUAGGUAGUUGGUGGGGUAAUGGCCUACCAAGCCGACGAUCCAUAGCUGGUUUGAGAGGAUGAUCAGCCACACUGGGACUGAGACACGGCCCAGACUCCUACGGGAGGCAGCAGUGGGGAAUCUUAGACAAUGGGCGCAAGCCUGAUCUAGCCAUGCCGCGUGAGCGAUGAAGGCUUUAGGGUUGUAAAGCUCUUUCAGUGGGGAAGAUAAUGACUGUACCCACAGAAGAAGCCCGGCUAACUCCGUGCCAGCAGCCGCGGUAAAGU